rnacentral:rRNA from 1 species
AGGCAGCAGUUGGGAAUCUUCCGCAAUGGACGAAAGUCUGACGGAGCAACGCCGCGUGAGUGAUGAAGGUUUUCGGAUCGUAAAACUCUGUUGUUAGGGAAGAACAAGUACCGUUCGAAUAGGGCGGUACCUUGACGGUACCUAACCAGAAAGCCACGGCUAACUACGUGCCAGCAGCCGCGGUAAUACGUAGGUGGCAAGCGUUGUCCGGAAUUAUUGGGCGUAAAGCGCGCGCAGGCGGUUUCUUAAGUCUGAUGUGAAAGCCCCCGGCUCAACCGGGGAGGGUCAUUGGAAACUGGGGAACUUGAGUGCAGAAGAGGAGAGUGGAAUUCCACGUGUAGCGGUGAAAUGCGUAGAGAUGUGGAGGAACACCAGUGGCGAAGGCGACUCUCUGGUCUGUAACUGACGCUGAGGCGCGAAAGCGUGGGGAGCGAACAGGAUUAGAUACCCUAGUAGUCC